AAUAUGGGACAAGGGGGGCAACCCUGAUCCAGCCAGGCCGCGUGUGUGAAGAAGGUCUUCGGAUUGUAAAGCACUUUAAGUAGGGAGGAAGGGCUUUAGGUUAAUACCCUGAAGUUUUGACGAUACCAACAGAAGAAGCACCGGCUAACUCUCAGCCAGCAGCCGCGGUAAUACAGAGGGUGCAAGCGUUAAUCGGAAUUACUGGGCGUAAAGCGCGCGUAGGUGGUUCACUAAGAUGGGUGUGAAAUCCCCGGGCUUAACCUGGGAACUGCUUUCAUAACUGCUGAGCUAGAGUACGGUAGAGGGUAGUGGAAUUUCCUGUGUAGCGGUGAAAUGCGUAGAUAUAGGAAGGAACACCAGUGGCGAAGGCGACUACCUGGACUGAUACUGACACUGAGGUGCGAAAGCGUGGGGAGCAAACA
rnacentral:rRNA from 1 species